AGGUGCCAGCCUGUGUCAGCCAUUCUGAAGGUUCUCGCUUGUCUCGAGUGGUCAGCUUAGUCUUGACUCGCAAGUUUUCUCACAAGAAGGACGAUUUCGAAGUGCCGAAGCAACAAAGUAUCCUGUUGAUUCCCAGCUCGCCUAUUUCAGGAAGAAAAACAGAAAUCACGAUGGUGUUCAACACGGGAUCAGUUGUGAUCACGAACCGGAGAAUCCGGGUGUAUACCGGAGGUGUAGGUGUGGACUGCGGGUACAACAAACAAGAGGUGACCUCAUCAAGCAGACCGAUCUCUGAACAGCUGAAAUCCGCACUGGAAGCCAUCAAGAAGACGUUUCAACGGUCAGACCGGGAAAGGCCGUCGACAACAGCUGUUGAACACGAAAAGCAGGUAGCGGGACACUAGCCUGGGGCGUCGGGCGCUGCAGCAGGGGGCCGGCGGAGAGGCGUGCCAUGUAGGGCCAACUGGGGGCUAUCCAGGGCCCACGAACAGUCCUUUCUACCUCGGGCGCUGAAAUUAUUGUCUAAAACCUGAUCUUUGUAUCAUCUUAGUAUGAUGUUAUUAUGAAAGUUCACCUGUGUUGGCAGUUACAUGUUUAAAGUUAAAACUUUUGAUCCAACACAAAAAGUUCUCUCACCUAGGGCUUUUGACCAGUCACUCUAGUCUUCCUCAGUAGAAUGAUCCAGUGAGGCUUGUCAUGUAUGAUGUUAUCCAUAUCUGUUCAUACUGAUUUUUAAUGUUUUAGCUGAUGUAUACAUUGUUGUGAUAAACCUUUGUACUGUAUUUUAAUUAACGAUAACAAUGCAGACAUGUGUAAGAUUUAAGGCAAGCUUUAUCUAUUUUAAUAAUGGGCGAUAUGUCGUAAAUAUUGUAUGUACAUGAUCGGUCAUUUUAAUGUAAUACAUGUACUAUGUACAUCUUUAUGCUAUUUAAUGACAAGACAGUUCACCAGAACCUUAUGCGUUUUAUGUGUACACAUGUUUAAAGUUCACAUAUGUGUACAAGCAUACAAUGUCAAUAAAGAAUAUCUUGAUGGAAAAA